CACAUUAUGAAAAUAACAAUUCAGUACUGAAAUGGCAUAAUGAAAUAUAGUAAAUGAGUAGAAUAACUUAUGUACAAUUUCUCCAACAUUUCCCUCCUGUU